AUGUUUCACGGUUCCGUUUGCUAUCCGUUUCAGAACUAAUAAACUAAAACAUAAACAGAAGUCGAGUAGUGAAACAAUCAGAGGAAAAAAAAUCCCCAGAUCUAAACUGCUUAGCUCUUGUCUGUCAGAUCUGAAAACUUCCAAUCAGAGUUGGCUCAUGGGUUGGAGUUGAGUGGAAAACGAUUCCUCUGGGUGGCGAGACCUCCCAGAGCCGAUGGUGCUUCGGGAAGCUUCUUCGAAGCUGGUGUUGAUGGUGCCCUUACGGCGUCGUAUCUGCCGGAUGGGUUUUCGGAGAGGACACGAGGGGCAGGGCUGGUGACGGCGACGUGUACGGCCGACUUGCCCUAUUUUUCUUGUGUUCAAGAUGAAUAUGAGGUUGUUCGGAAGGUUGGAAAAGGAAAGUACAGUGAGGUCUUCGAGGGUAUAAAUGUCACCAACAAUGAAAAAUGCGUGAUCAAGAUCCUUAGACCAGUCAAGAAAAAGACCUUUUAGAUAAAAAUAUUACAGAAUCUUUGUGGAGGUCCAAAUAUUGUGAAGCUGCUUGAUAUUGUCAGGCAUGAGCUCUCAAAAACUCCUAGUUUAAUCUUUGAACAUGUCAACAGUACAGAUUUCAAAGUGUUGUACCCCACACUGACAGAUUACGACAUUCGCUACUAUAUAUAUGAACUUCUCAAGAUCCGUACGCUGUUACACUUUGGGGGAUAUGCUCUCCUGAGAAACUCCAGCAGUCUGUUUCAUACUUUGGGGGAUAUGCAGUCCUACUUUGUUGAAUGGUCAUUCGAUGGGUUAUAAUAAUAAUGUGCUUCAGGGAAGCACCUUAAGUGGCUCAACAUCAACAAAUACAGAUGA